CCGAUCACCAAAGUUAAGCAUGAUAGAGCCAGGUCAGUACUUAGAUGGGGUACCGCUUGGGAACACCUGGUACUGUAAG